CUUGGGAAGAAACUAGGUGUUGAAAGCUCAAUGUUCCUUUUAUGUUUCCAUUUUUUCCUUUUAAGAAAAUUUUUUGUCUUGGUGCCAAGAGUCCAAUGUAAGGGCCUCAGACAUGAAAAAGGGAUUUAAAUUACAGGUGUAUAUAUUCUAAAGAAUUUAAGAGAUAGUAUAUUAUUAGUAUUUGCUUAUUACAGAAUAGAGUCUGGGAAUCCCAGAAUGUCAAGCCAAAGGUCUAAGAUGUCAUCAUCUUCACCGAUUUCAAUAAAUAUUUUGUGGAGACUUUUGCCCAAAACAAAAGACUUUGCCUCUGAGUUCCAGUGAUCUUAAAAAACAAUUCACUAUCCACACCAUGAGUCUCCCAUGGUCAAGCUGAAAUAAUAAGCCUAGUAGACACAUAUCUCUAAGGCUGGAAGAUAAUACAAACUAUAGCUUUUCGGUGAAGAGCACUCCCUAGUACCCAGAGCUAAGCAUUCUGGAGACUAAAGAUUGCACUUUUCAUAGUUUUUUUUGUCCAAAUGCAAUCCCAUUUCUGUGCCUCUUAGCAUGCAGUUAAAUUUGGACAGACAAGAUUCCUAAGGAAUGUCUAUUAACUAUAAUAUGGUUACAGCUAUUACAUAUAUAAAUAUAUAUUCUGGUUAUAGUUCUAAUACAGAGGUAUUGUGUGCAAUGCUGGCCCGUGGCAAUCUGUGAAACGCUUUAACUCCUUUGGAGGAGGCCUGGCAUAGGGCUGAGAUGUGGCUUCAACUGUCCCUGUAUUCUUCAUUUUGAAAUGUAAAGGUACCACUUUUCCCUCUGCCUUCUAGUGGUAUCUGAACUAUACUCCAAACAGUGUUUCCUGAUCAUGUUGUUAACUGAUUGAUUCUAUAUUUAUGAAACAUUUUCACAAGGGAACAGACAAAUUUAAACUUCAAAACCACCCCUUGACCAGGAACAGGGCCUUCAAGGUUGUUCCACAUCCCAGCUUCCGCCUAGGGCCUCCUUCCCAAUGAGUUAGGAACCAGGCAUUUCUUUGAAAUCUCACCAGUAGCAGUGAACUUUUUCAGUGUUGCUGUUAGCAGAUGUGUUUGCCAAUAGAUAACAUUUGUAGUAAUGUGCCAACCAGUAACUAACUGUUCAUAGCACACCCGCCACUGUGUUUCUACGGGUGCCAUGAAGUGUGUGAGGGGCCUCUAAGAUGUCUGGAGGAACGACCGAUGCAUUGACUACUGCUAUCAGGAUUAUGUUGUGUGGAAAAGUCAUCUACAUAAAUUUUAUAUGCACAGUAAUUUCCCUUUUAUAUGUCAGGUAAAUAUUUGUAAAAGUUAUACUCACACAAAUGAAAUUAUUAUAAUAAUUACUAAUAUAUUUUUUCCAUGUUUCAUUGCCUGAAUAAAAACUGUUUAUCACUGUUAA